rnacentral:misc_RNA from 1 species
GAUGAAAACGCAGCGAAAUGCGAUAAGUAAUGUGAAUUGCAGAAUUCAGUGAAUCAUCGAAUCUUUGAACGCACCUUGCGCCCUUUGGCUAUUCUGAAGGGCAUGCCUGUUUGAGUAUCAUGAACACCUCAACUCUCAUGGUUCGCCAUGAUGAGCUUGGACUUUGGGGGUCUUGCUGGCCUACGGUCGGCUCCUCUCAAAUGAAUCAGCUUGCCAGUGUUUGGUAGAGUCGCAGGUGUGAUAACUAUCUACGCUUGUGGUUUUCUGCCAGAUAACCUUCAGUGAUGGAGGUUCGCUGGAGCUUAUAAAUGUCUCUCCCCAGUGAGGACAGCUUUUUGAACGUUUGAUCUCAAAUCAGGUAGGACUACCCGCUGAACUUAAGCAUAUCAAUAAGCGGAGGA